rnacentral:rRNA from 1 species
ACGCUCGACACCUACGGGAGCAGCAGUGGGGAAUAUUGCACAAUGGGGGAAACCCUGAUGCAGCGACGCCGCGUGAGUGAAGAAGUAUUUCGGUAUGUAAAGCUCUAUCAGCAGGGAAGAAGAUGACGGUACCUGAGUAAGAAGCCCCGGCUAACUACGUGCCAGCAGCAGCGGUAAUCUGAGCGGGCUGGCAAGGC